UUUGGCUUUAUGACUCAGAUGGAGAAAAUUAUUUCACUUGUUAGUAAUUUUUAUUUAUGAAAACUAGGUGCUUGGACUGGAUGCUAUAUAAGGGACUUUUAAACUCUCAAGGUCUCUGAUUUUAACAUUUUCAUCAAACAAUCUGACUUAUCUUCUCUCAUCUGUUUAACUUGCCGCUGAAACCCUUAGGUGUAUGUGUGGUUCAGCUCUGAUUUAACUUAAUAUUAAAAUUUCAGUGCUUCACAGCUAUUGGAUGCCCCUUAACCAAGGACUUAGGGCUCAAAUAUUUGAAGAACACUGGAGUCAGGAGACCAGGAUUUCAGAUCUGACUGACACUAACUAGGCUCACCUGGGAGAAACCAGAUGCUCUGUAGGAAAUGCAACGGUCCUGCAAACACCAUGCUAUGGGAAGCCCAAGCCAUGUGCAGAGGCCCUGGAGGAAGAGAUUCAUUGUGUCGAGCAAGAGACCACAUGCAUGAGGAAGCCAUCUUAGAAAUGGAUCCUUCAUCCCACCCAUUUCAGUGUUCCAUGGAAAGCCCAAGGCUCUCAGGAACUGAAGCCCAAAGUGCUUAGUCAUCCAAGAUAUAUAUUACCUUACAGAGGAAGAAACUGGAACAUUUGUUCACACUGCAGAAGAGCCCCUUUCUCUGCUGCCGUUGCUGCCAUCAACAGUAAACACUAGAAGUUUAGGAGCUGAAACCCCAUUGAUUGGCAGACUGCUCUGUCAAGACUGUGGAAUCAAUGGUAGUUUCUCAACAUGUGCUUUGGAGAAGAAGGGAAGACAACUUAUCUGAGGUUCUCUAUAUUCCAGGAGGCCUGAACCUCUGGGAUUGGAUCCCCAGGUGAGCAGCUGACUCAGUUCUCACACCUGCUGCCCUGCCCUCAUUCUGGAGUGACUGUCAGAAGGGGAUUGAGCCUCAGCCACCUGGCCUAGGGCUAGUCCUCCUCUCCAACAACCCAGAUCCUGGAGUUGUGUGCCUAGUUUUGGACUCUCCUUUCCAUCAAAUGACUUUCCCUCUAGAAAGUCCUUUCGUCUCUCCUGCAGGCAGCAUCUGUUGGAUUCACCCUAGUCCAGGAUUAAUCUAUGGCCAGAGGGCCACAUCCGGACCACUACCUGUUUUGGUAAAUAAAAUUUUAUCAGAACGUAGCCAUGCUCAUUGCUUUACAUAUUGUCUGUGACUGCUUUCUCACAGCAGAGUUGAGUACCUUGUGGCCCACAAAGCCUUAAACAUUUAUAUUUGUAUGUUAAUAGAUGUCUGUGCCCUUAAAAAUGCUAUGGCGAUAUUGCUUAUCAAAGUUAAAUGUUCUUGUUUCUCUUGUUCCUGUUUCUCUUCCUCCUAAAAGA
rnacentral:lncRNA from 1 species